AGCCUAGUGGUUAGAGACAGGUAGCCUAGUGGUUAGAGACAGGUAGCCUAGUGGUUAGAGACAGGUAGCCGAGUGGUUAGAGGCAGGUAGCCUAGUGGUUAGAGGCAGGUAGCCUAGUGGUUAGAGCAGGUAGCCUAGUGGUUAGAGCAGGUAUCCUAGUGGUUAGAGUCUAGUGGUUAGAGCAGGUAGCCUAGUGGUUAGAGCAGGUAGCCUAGUGGUUAGAGCCUAGUGGUUAGAGCAGGUAGCCUAGUGGUUGGAGCAGGUAGCCUAGUGGUUGGAGCAGCUAGCCUAGUGGUUAGAGCAGGUAGCCUAGUGGUUAGAGCAGCUAGCCUAGUGGUUAGAGACAGGUAGCCUAGUGGUUAGAGCAGGUAGCCUAGUGGUUAGAGCAGGUAGCCUAGUGGUUAGAGACAGGUAGCCUAGUGGUUAGAGCAGGUAGCCUAGUGGUUGGAGUAUAGUGGUUAGAGCCUAGUGGUUAGAGCAGGUAGCCUAGUGGUUGAUCAGCUAGCCUAGUUGUUAGAACCUAGUGGUUAGAGCAGGUAGCCUAGUGGUUAGAACAGGUAGCCUAUUGGUUAGAGCAGUUAGCCUAGUGGUUAGAGCAGGUAGCCUAGUGGUUAGAGCAGGUAGCCUAGUGGUUAGAGCAGGUAGCCUAGUGGUUAGAGGAGGUACAGGGUCUACAGUCAAUCACGGACUACAGGAAGAAACCCAGCCCAGUCACGGACCAGGAUGUCUUGCUCCCAGGCAGACUAAAUAACUUUUUUGCCCGCUUUGAGGACAAUACAGUGCCACUGACACGGCCUGCAACGGAAACAUGCGGUCUCUCCUUCACUGCAGCCGAAGUGAGUAAGACAUUUAAACGUGUUAACCCUCGCAAGGCUGCAGGCCCAGACGGCAUCCCCAGCCGCGCCAUCAGAGCAUGCGCAGACCAGCUGGCCGGUGUGUUUACGGACAUAUUCAAUCAAUCCCUAUACCAGUCUGCUGUUCCCACAUGCUUCAAGAGGGCCACCAUUGUUCCUGUUCCCAAGAAAGCUAAGGUAACUGAGCUAAACGACUACCG
ensembl:lncRNA